UCCGAACCAGGACUGCUUUUUUGGAUAAUAGCACUAGUGAUGAGUAACAUAUUGCAACUAGUUGCAUGAUAGCAUUAGUUUAAGGCCUUCUGCACAAUUUUUCCAAGGAUGUCACGAGCAGGCGGUACAAGAGGGAGUGGCAAGAAAGGUCAGACUCCAGGCACAUCUGGGACAAGACAGAGCAGGGCAGGGUCAAUCAGGUCUGGCAUGACUCCUAUAUCUGAGGGUGAUGAUGCAGAAACUCUUGGAACUGAGCUAUCUGCAGUAAUGCCUAGAAAGAGGUAUCAACCUCCUCCUGGCUACUACAGUCCAUCAUUGGCAAGGUUCAAGCAGUACUUGGAGGACACCCAGGUCCAGGUGAUCUUCAGAAAACUUUUUCAUAUCCUGCUGAACAGACCGGAGCUUCCAUACAACCCUUACCCAGGAUUCUAUGGAAGGUUAAGGGUUCACCAAGAAAGAUUCCAUCUUGAAAAGCAUCCAAGGCAGAGAAUCCUUGCUUCCUUGAGAAAUAUUCUGAAAGACACAUACAUACAGAACUUGUACACCAUCCAGAACUACCAGAAUGUUUGGGGUUUGAGUAGUAUUUUACGAGUGGUCAAUCCUGAUGGACUGGAGAAGUAUCUUUGGUUGAUAAAUGACAUUACACCAAAACUUGACCAGUUGCCAUCUUUUGAAGAGUUCUCUAAUCAAGUUAUGGUAGCCCUGAUUGGACCAUGUAUAUUUGACGGCUCAUUUUAUCCCAGUGUUCAUAACGUGCAGUUUAGAUUAGAAUACCUUGUUGCUGGGCCGGAUGUUGAGAAGGGUAUAUCAAUAUAUGUGAACAGUUUGAUGAAGGAGAUAGAUGACAUGUUUAACAGUGAACAUCAUUUCCUACUGGGGGUAAAUGUCCCCUCCAUGAGUCUUACCAACCCUGACAUGUGGGUAAAACACUACUGGGAACCAGAGAAAAUACAAUCUGAAAAAGAAACGUUUCUGCAGAAGAUAAGUGAUGCAGUUAUUGGUAACAGAUAUAUCUUUGUCGAGUGUAUCUUUCUUCUGAACCCAUCCUAUCCAUCAUAUAUAAGGGGAGAGAAGCAGUACGGAUUGAACUUUGUGGAAGUUGUUGAUGAAAUGAGGGAAGAAGGGUUGGCAAGUUUCUGUGAAUACCCAAUGGCAUCCCUGCAUGAAGGUGUUUUCUUCGAGAGGUCGCAAGCAGAAGCGUACAUUUCAAUCUUCCAGACACAGAUGGAUGAUUUUGAAACAGCGGACGCAUACGAAGCUGGUGAAGGUGCACCACCAAGGAGUCCGGGUCUGGCUUCUUUAGGUCAAGGUUCACAAGCUCAGUUGACAUCAAGGCAGUCUCGAGCAGCCACGGCUCAAAGUAUGAAUCGCAGAUUCUCAGUAUCGCAACAGCAAGAUGCCCACCAGGUACAGCAGCAUGUGCAUCGACGUCUCGAGCACGUCAAACCACGGAAAGUGAAGAUUGAUGGGUUUAGAUUUGGAGAUGAGAAAUCAACAGGACCAUUUGCAUGGCAGAUAACAACUCCUAUCAAGGAAUGGGUAUCCAAUUACCAGAAGAAGAUAGCCAGUUAUUGGAGAGAUGUGGAGUUGUUUGAAAUUCUCUACUGUAUCAUCAUACUUGUUAUAAUGGAUAGGGAGUCGUAUGAUGAUGAGAUCCUGGUUGAGGCAUACAGACUGUACCACAGUACAUCAGGGCAUUUACACCAUCUUAUGGAGCACAAUAAGGGACUCCGAGCUGUCAUACAAGCCGUUGCAAAUACAGCUGACUAUCCAGUGAUCAGGACACUUCUACAACAAUACAAUGAAGCUGUUCAAAAGUUGUUUCUCAAUCCAUUGUUGGAGAGAAGUCAGGACCAUAUGACAAUUGGAAAAUCCAUAUCUGCCAAAGUGGAUGACAUGAUUUACUCACCAGACAUGGAAUUUGCGUCUGCUACUCAUCUACAGUUUACUUUAAGAGGUUUAAAGAACAUAAACUUAUAUUUAAUUCCAUUGAUGAUGGAACUGGCAGAGGACAGUCGCUCACAGUGUCCAGAAGUUGCAAAACUUAUCAGAAUGAUGGAAGAUACAUUUCCGGAAGAGGAUCCCAGACCCCCUACCCGCUACAAGAAAAGGGUCACCACAUCAUUUCAGGCUGGGGAAGCAGAAGAUGUACAGGAUGAAAUAAUCAAACAUGGUAUUGAAGAUGAACAUAUCAAAAGACAUGAAACUUCAGUUUUGAAUGUUAAAACUUGUAUUGCUAAAGACAUGUCACCACAGGUCAUGGUCAAAGAAAAUGUCCUGAUGAAGUAUAUGUUAGAUUGCAAGUUUGAUGAGAUGUGGAGUGACUAUCUGAUUGACCUUGCAGGAGGUGACCUUUUCCCGCCAAAUCCGUUCCCCAGACUUAUAUCAUCUCUUAGACAGUGCACAAUGAAGAUGGAUUUGUUUUAUGAGAAGGCAUCAGUUCUUACUGAGAAGAUGUUCAACUUGGAGGUAAAACUGGAGGAUAAUGAGAACUUUGUAUACCAUAUUCCAGGAAUAGAUGCUCAUGGUACUUUGACUGCAUUAAUGAUGCUUGACACAGGAACUUACAUUAUGUUAUCUAAGAUCUUCCGAAGUUUUCAGCAGAGAUCAUAUAUACAGAAGAAAGGGCCAUACAGGAUUGGGAUAUGUCUGGCCCUGAGUGGACCCAGUAUCUGGUAUGGGAGACUACAGCCAUAUUUAAAUGAGAUAGAAUUGCAUGAACACUAUUAUAUACAAGGACCUUCAGGUUGUCAAGGGGAGGCAAUGCAACUUUGUGCAGUUAUAGUCCAUAACCAUAUGGUGGAUAUGAUCACCAAGUCUGGGUUACCUGUAAUGGGUGUGUACUUUGGUGAUCUUUCACCAGACCACUGGACAAGUGAAGAUGUGCUCGGAAAGAAGAGAGGAUUUCUUACAGAAUUUGCCUAUACAUGCUCACAGAAACAAGCAAUUUAUGCCAAGGCUUAUGUACUUGUUGAUGGCUGGAGAUACGUGACUCUCAAAAAGUAUUUCCAACUUCAUUUCUUGGAAUCAGGAUCAAGAUCUCAGACAUUUUACCCAGAAAAUCCAGCUGCGUUCUACCAGUCUGUGUUCUUAACUAAGGAUAGAGCAGCAUUCCAUUAUCAGAACAGCGGCCCUCCACAUGGUGGCGACCCGAUGAGUAUUGCCAACAUGCGGGCAGUGACUAACUUCAUUGAGAAGAAUAUGUAUGAAUCUCAGAGGAAAAGUGAUUGGUUAAAUUAUUAUCGUCAUUUACUGCUCAGGGAUCUUAUUUCACAGGAUCAGAGUCAUAUAGCAGAUUGUUGGAGAGUGUUACACAGUAUGGCCGGACAAGUGGAAUAUGUUGUUGGAAUGAUGGAGGUAUUACAGGACUUGGUUCUGACCCUCCUUCAGGCCGGAGUAGAUGACAAAAAACAAGCCAGCCGACAAAGCAGUAGGGGCAGCACACAAGGCAAAAACCGUAAGAACCCUGUGGAACAGUCAGCCCUGACUAAAAUGGUAAUGGCAUUUUACCAGAAACUGAUGUAUGUAUGUGAAGCUAGAUUGACAAUGGCAGCCAGAUCACUAACAGACUAUAUAGAGAGCAAACUGAAGUCAGCCCUGGAAUUUGAUCCUGGAACUGGACAACCUUACCUCGCUAUUGAAGAUCAGUCGAUAUUCCGUCUGGAGGAGAUGAAGAGUAUAAUGAAGAUAUUUCAGGACACGCUCAGCGGUGAUAUACAAAGUGUCUGUCAGCAUGUCCAGAUAAAAUACCAGCCACAGAGAUCACAAACACCAAAGAUGCAAAUAGGAGAGUCCUUCAAGAAGAAAACACCACGCACACCUAGAACCAGAGGUUCUGUGGGACAAACUAGGGGUAGUAAUGAUCAGCCAUUGGACCCGUACCUAUCACAGCCAGAUGUUUAUCACCAAACCUCUAGACCCGCUAGUGUAGCCUCCAGUAUUCUAGACAACCCUGACUAUUAUAGGAAAAAACCUGCAAACAUGAUGACCAUUAGAGAGAAUGUAUAGCAAUAACAAAGGCAUUCCCUUGGCUUCGGUGUCUUGAACAAUCCAAACUUCACCAGGUGAAGUAACAUAAGAAUUCCUCUGGUGUAACUAUUAUGCCAAGGAAAUCCAACUUUCAUAGGUGAAAACUCUCUUAUAUGAUGGCCAGCAGAGGAAUUGUGUUACCAGGAUGUUACUUUUUUCAUUUCUUGGAACAGCAAAAGAAAUUAUAGUAAAUGUACUAAAAGAGUGACCUGCAAAAAA
rnacentral:misc_RNA from 1 species